AUUGAACGCUGGCGGCAGGCCUAACACAUGCAAGUCGAACGGUAACAGGAAGAAGCUUGCUUCUUUGCUGACGAGUGGCGGACGGGUGAGUAAUGUCUGGGAAACUGCCUGAUGGAGGGGGAUAACUACUGGAAACGGUAGCUAAUACCGCAUAACGUCGCAAGACCAAAGAGGGGGACCUUCGGGCCUCUUGCCAUCGGAUGUGCCCAGAUGGGAUUAGCUAGUAGGUGGGGUAACGGCUCACCUAGGCGACGAUCCCUAGCUGGUCUGAGAGGAUGACCAGCCCCACUGGAACUGAGACACGGUCCAGACUCCUACGGGAGGCAGCAGUGGGGAAUAUUGCACAAUGGGCGCAAGCCUGAUGCAGCCAUGCCGCGUGUAUGAAGAAGGCCUUCGGGUUGUAAAGUACUUUCAGCGGGGAGGAAGGGAGUAAAGUUAAUACCUUUGCUCAUUGACGUUACCCGCAGAAGAAGCACCGGCUAACUCCGUG
rnacentral:rRNA from 1 species